CGCCUGCGGAAUUCGAACACCGGUGCAUC
rnacentral:sRNA from 1 species